AACGAACGCUGGCGGCAUGCCUAACACAUGCAAGUCGAACGAGACCUUCGGGUCUUGUGUCGCACGGGUGCGUAACGCGUGGGAACCUGCCCUUAGGUUCGGAAUAACUCUCCGAAAGGGGUGCCAAUACCGGAUAAUGUCUUCGGACCAAAGAUUUAUCGCCUUUGGAUGGGCCCGCGUUGGAUUAGCUAGUUGGUAGGGUAAAAGCCUACCAAGGCGACGAUCCAUAGCUGGUCUGAGAGGAUGAUCAGCGACACUGGGACUAGGACACGGCCCAGACUCCUACGGGAGGCAGGAGUGGGGAAUAUUGGAAAAUGGGCGAAAGCCUGAUCCAGCAAUGCCGCGUGAGUGAUGAAGGCCGUAGGGUUGUAAAGCGCUUUUAACCGGGAUGAUAAUGACGGUACCGGGAGAAUAAGCCCCGGCUAACUCCGUG
rnacentral:rRNA from 1 species